UACGGAGGGUGCAAGCGUUAUCCGGAUUCACUGGGUUUAAAGGGUGCGUAGGUGGGUUGGUAAGUCAGUGGUGAAAUCUCCGUGCUUAACAUGGAAACUGCCAUUGAUACUACUGAUCUUGAAUUUUCUGGAGGUAAGCGGAAUAUGUCAUGUAGCGGUGAAAUGCUUAGAUAUGACAUAGAACGCCAAUUGCGAAGGCAGCUUGCUACAGGGAUAUUGACACUGAGGCACGAAAGCGUGGGGAUCAAACAGG
rnacentral:rRNA from 1 species